rnacentral:lncRNA from 1 species
AAAACUGUUAUUGAUGGUUUGGCUCGUCGUCAUCAUUUAAAGUCUUUUGAUCAUAUUCUCAUGCAUGUAAUUAUUCUGGCCAAUCUUUUACCUUCUAAGGGUAAUAAAACUAAUGUCACGACUGAGGUCAUGGAGCACUUAUGGUGUAUGACUAGUAGACAUGUGUUUCUGUCGGAGGUAAUUUUUCAUGAGAUGAAGUCGGUUGGUGACUCACCUUCUUUACCCUUUCCUUGUUUUAUUACUGGAGUUGCUUGGUAUUCCAUGUUUAAGGGAAGUUUCUGAUCCUAUACCAUAUGGUGAGAAGGAUUGGAAGAAGUUAGUACGUUCAGGCUUCUCUCAGAGAAAGGAAGCAUUCACUAAUGCCAACAUAGCUUUUACUCAUCAUCUCAUUUUUGGUGUUCCAGAUCCGGAUAAUACGGAUGCCUUUGACAAGACUCUUUUUGUUGGUAUUGAGGAUCCUGAUCCAGAGUUGGUGAAUGUGCCUAUUGAUGUUGGUGCUCAGCUUCGGGCCUUACAGGAGUCGACUACUCUUAUCAAUCGUCAGGUAUAAUACAACUAUCAGCUUUUGAUGGGCUUGUAUCUUCGUGAUGGGCGAAAGGUUCGUGCUCCUACUGAUGGGGCUAUCUCCAGUGUUUCUAUGCCGUCAGCUGCUGCUAAUGAGGUUCCUGAUGAUGCUGAGUGAUAAUUUUUUUUUUCUUUUUUUUUCAGCUUGGUUAUCUCUUUUUGCUAUUUUUGAUAGUUAGUCUUUGCCUAUUUAUCCUGGUAAUUGGACUUGGUCCUAAUUUUUGGUUUGUGAAGCCAGGAUUAUUGUUAGUCUGUGUUCUUAGUAUCUUCUAUUUGUUAGUAAGCAGUAGCUCUUUCCUUGUUAACAUUGUUCAGGUUCUCACCAUUCUAUUUGUCUCUCCAUUUUCUGUCAUCUAAGAGUUGCUUAUUUAUUAUUAUUAUUAUUAUUAUUAUUAUUAUUAUUAUUAUUAUGACCUUUUUUUCACCCGUUGUCCAUUUGUGACAAAAAGAGGGAGAAUUAUUGCCUCUAAUCUUGUUUUUCUCCGAGUGUACUUUGGUUGUAAUAUGUUUCAGGUAUGCACCAAUUAAGGGGGAGAAAAAUACCGACUUCUACAAGUCAUUGAUUGAGGGGGAGUGUCGCUUGAAGAUUAUGAAGCUUCUGUGUGAUCCUCAUAAGGUCUAGGUGAGAGUGUUUUUGUUUGAGUUUGUAAAGGCGUUAUGACCUUAUUUUCAUUACUUGAGUUGGAAUGAUCGAGUUGGGAGGAAUUAGAGUCUUAGGUGUUUUGUCACGAAAUGUGUCAAGGGGUAAGUGGAGCUUGUCACGAAAUGUGUCAAGGAUUGUUUCUUAGAGUGAGUCUGAGAAGGUGUUGUAGUGAUUGCAGAGAUAGAAGACUACGUGGAGCACUUGUACAAGUAUUAGCUUCUGUGAUUGGGUUAAUCUGAGAUUGUAUGAGUGUAUGUUUCUAUUUCAUAUAGUGGAUUGUUUAUCGUCAUGAGGACGGUCGUGGAUGUUUAC